UUCCGCAAAAUGUCACCGCUCCCAACGGAAAAACAGCUCUCCGCAUUCUUUAAAUCUAGACCUAUCGCCAGGUUCCUUGCAAUUGGCGCAUUGUUCAUGCACAGCUGGAGCCAGUGGGUCAUGCUCUCACAUUAUUGGCUUGCUGAUGGCUCUUCAGCAUUGGAUUCUUAUGGGUUUUAAAGCAGUCCCUGAUAACCUAACGUGUACUAGUUUGCCCCAGCAAUGGUCUGUGCCAAGAGGAAGCAAGAUUGAAAGUUCAGCUGCCCCCCAAAUUUGCAUUAUUAAACCCCAUCCUGAUAGAAAACAGAAACCCGUAGAAAGUGUGUUGACAGAAUGCAGGAAGUUUUAUGUGAAUGGGGAAGAUGUUGACCAUUUAAAGGCCUAAAAA